CCGGAGGAAGUGGGGAUGACGUCAAAUCAUCAUGCCCCUUAUGACCUGGGCUACACACGUGCUACAAUGGGCGGUACAAAGGGUCGCGAACCCGCGAGGGGGAGCCAAUCCCAAAAAGCCGCUCUCAGUUCGGAUUGCAGGCUGCAACUCGCCUGCAUGAAGCCGGAAUCGCUAGUAAUCGCGGAUCAGCAUGCCGCGGUGAAUACGUUCCCGGGCCUU
rnacentral:rRNA from 1 species